GCGGAGGGGCGGGCGCCGCGCGUGCGCCCCUCGCGGCGCGGCGGAGCGCGCCCCGCAGCCAAUGGGCGGGCGGGCCGCCCGCGGGAGGAGCCAAUCAGCGUGCGCGGGCCGCGGGAGGGCGGCCAAUGGCGGGCGGCGGGGGUUUAAAGGGGUAUUUAAGGCGCGGCGGUUUGAAUUCAAACAGCUCCGGGCCCUGAGGCGGCGGCGCCGGGCUGCGCGCCGGGCCUGGCUCCGUGCGGGGGCAGCGCUGCGGGACCGCUACCGGUGAACAGCGGUAAUCGAUACGGGACCGCUACCGGGAAACAGCGAUAGUCGAUACGGGACCCGCGAUUUGCCGUGCGCCGCUCACCGAGCCCCCCUGGCUCCCUGUCGCCCUCAGGCAGAGCCGCACGGGCCGCUCCCGCUCUGGCGCUAUGGACAGGAACACGAAGGAGAACCACGCCGCGUACCCAGGCCGCGCUGCCAAGGUCACCAAUGCCAUCGGGGAUGUCCCCAAACGCGUCCCUGUGUCGCAGCACUCAGCCCAGAGCCGCUCGCUGGCCAGCGGAGCUCCAGCCCGAGUUCUGUGCCCCGCAAACUUCGCCCAGCGAGUCCCCGUGCAGCCCCAAAAACCUCUCCUGUCCACCCAAAAACCACCCAACAACCCAACGGCGCAGCAGCUCCGACCCAAAGUGCCCCAGCAGGCCACUGUGAGACCUCAGGCUGCCAGCAAGAGCAGUGAGAAACCUGCCCAGGCUGCAGCACCUGGUAAUUCACAAAACCCUGAAGCAGAAAGCACCUCGAAACAGAAAACAGAAGAGCCCAAGAAGAAAAGCGAAGAGACUAAAAAAAGGCAAUGGUCUCUUGAUGACUUUGAAAUUGGUCGUCCUCUGGGGAAAGGAAAAUUUGGGAACGUGUACCUGGCACGUGAAAAACAGAGCAAAUUCAUUCUUGCACUGAAAGUGCUCUUUAAAACCCAGCUGGAGGAGGCUGGUGUAGAACAUCAACUCCGAAGAGAAGUGGAAAUACAGUCUCAUCUUAGGCACCCCAACAUUCUCAGAUUAUAUGGCUACUUCCAUGAUGUGACAAGAGUCUACCUGAUCCUGGAGCAUGCACCUCGUGGGGAGGUCUACAGGGAGCUUCAGAGGCUCACCAAGUUCGAUGAGCAAAGAACUGCUACCUACAUCACAGAACUUGCAGAUGCCCUCUCGUACUGUCACUCCAAGCGUGUGAUCCACAGAGACAUCAAGCCAGAGAACUUGCUGCUGGGAUCAAAUGGAGAGUUAAAAAUUGCUGACUUUGGGUGGUCUGUGCAUGCUCCAUCUUCUAGGAGAACAACUCUCUGUGGGACACUUGACUACCUACCUCCUGAAAUGAUUGAGGGAAGAACACAUGAUGAAAAGGUGGAUAUUUGGAGCCUGGGAGUCCUGUGCUAUGAGUUCCUUGUAGGGAAACCACCUUUUGAAACUAAAACCUAUCAAGAAACCUACAGAGCUAUUUCCAGGGUGGAAUUCAAGUUUCCUCCAUUUGUAACAGAAGGUGCGAGGGAUUUAAUUUCCAAGCUCCUGAAGCACAACCCCUUCCAUCGCCUGCCCCUGAAGGACGUCCUCCUCCAUCCCUGGAUCACAGCAAACUCUACCAAGAUUCCCACCAGCAGGAAGAGUGAUGGUGCUGCCCCCUCCAAAACAUAGCUUUAGGAGGGUGACCUGUGGGAUGGACAAGAGGAGCCUUGUACUGUGACUACUGUAAUGCUUACAAUAGGAAAAGCAGGUCUUGGAAUCUAGUGGCAAUUGGGAUGCAAAUCCUUGGGUUGGCUGGUGUCUUAAACUCGAAUUGCAGCGUAAAAUUAUUUGACUUCUAGCUGGAGCUCGUGGAAUAUUUAAUGUACUUGAAAUCAGUUCCAUGUGGGCCAGGUUUGCUGGUGUAAGUGUGAAGCUCCUGGAGGCUCUUGUGCUGAAAAUGGUUCGUUGUUCCACCACAAGGAAGUUGUUCUGGCUUAUGGAACAGUGCAAUAUCCUGGAGAUGCCUGCUCCUCCCUCCCUGGGCUGCUCAGGGUGUCUUUCUUACCUGUGGUGUAACCUGAAACUGAGCGAGCAGGGUGAGGUUCCUUGUGGCACUGCUUGGCUCAGCACCAGCUCCCAGAGGUGAAUUCCCAAAGGAUAAUUCCCACCUCUGUCAGAAGGGAAGCUCCAAGUGCUGGUACCACACAGUCACUCACCAUCCCACAAUCCCAAUUUAGGAUUGCAAGGUAAGUUCCAAAUGUGUUGCUGCUUAAGCUGCUUGGUUUAUUGAGAGCUUGGCCUGCUCUGUCAUUUUUCCAGUGAGUUUAUUGAAAGAUCUCCCAUCUAAAAACAUCUUCCAGCCCUUUCUCUCAGAAGUAUUUUCAGAUUAAUCUGAAUAUUUAUGUUGGGUAACAGCAAGUAACAACAGCAGAUGCUUAUAAGACACUCCUUAAAAGGGACUGAGGUUCAGGCCCCUUGCCACCAAAAUCAAGGCCAACUCUCUUCCAGGAAGACACUUGAAGCAAACUAAGAGAAAGCAAUUUAUUGUCUUUUCAGAAUAAGACUUUGCUAUUUUACAAACAGUUUUAAAAAAUGAUCCUUCUACAAGCAAGGACUCCAAAAUUCAAAAUAUAUUCUCAAAUUAAUUUAAAAUAUACUUUGCAAAAAUCUUCAUCUAAACAAACUGCCAGUAGUUUCUACAACCACAUAAGUAAUCAGGAUUCUGGCCACAAUUUAUAUGAAGCUGUUUUCUUUACAGCACGAAAACUCCAGUUUAGUGCUGGUGCCUUCUACUGACUUUUAAAUGAUUUUAUGGUUUUAAAUUAUUUCACACGAUUUUACAUAAGAUUUUGAAAAAGAAACUUUGAACAUUCCUUCUUUAUUACAUUUAAGACAAAACAUCCUUCUCAGAAAUUAUUCUAUCUGAAGUAAACAAGGCUGCCUCAGAGUUAUUUUGGAAUUCUUAUCCUUGGCCCACAUGAAACCUGGUCCUUUCUGUUGGGGAGAAGGAGUUAAGGUGCAAUUUCAUGUUCUGGCUGAGGGGAGGCAAGAGGCUGCUCAUAAUAAGUUAUUUGCUCCUCCUUUCUUCCCUCAGCCAGCUCUUAGCAAAAUUCCACCCUUCCUCUCAAUUCACUAAAUUUUAGCAAAACUAAAAAGCUAUUUCAGAGCUGUAAUUUGACUUAAAUCAGAGCUCUGUAUAAUCAGCUCUGUCAGAGCCACCCUGGGGUCCGUGCAAGCACAAAGGGAACUCAGAAUGAGCAGCCACAGGUCCCAAACAGCCCCAGCUGUGGCUCGGGCUCACAGCAGCACAGGCUGGCCUUACCCCCAGUGUGGCACUGAUUUAUCUGGUUUGGAUCAGUCUGCAGCUUGGGUGGAAGGUGGAACGUGGAGAUCCACACCUGUAACCACGUUCUAACACCAGUGUCCCCAUCAGGAAAGGGCGAGUGCCCUCUGCUACACUCACCAGCCCAAAGGCAGGAAUUCCUCCUGGGAAGCUGGGAAUUGGAAUGUUUGCACUUCUGGGGCAGAUUGGAGUUGCACCCACAGGACCAGAAAGCUGCUGGGGUUAGUUUGAAGAUUUAAAAAAAAAAAGUGUUUCCAAUACAAAGUCAAAUCUCAAACUAUUAAAAGCCCCAGCUUCUCUCUGCCGUGAUGCUGCUCGGGGUAUGUUCACAUAGGUAUUCUGGUUACACUGAUUUCAGUAGCUCAGGAUUUCUUCUGAUUCUGUAGACAUUUAAAAAACAAAAUGACUUUAGUAAGGCUGGCUCCCAGCCAGCAUGUUUUCAAACAAUAACAUCUGGCACUAUGGAAGCAAUGGGUUAGUUUCAGAACAGUGCUUUACCUCUUGUGACUAAACCAAUUAUGACUGCAAUAAUUAAUCAUAGGGGUACUCCCACUGAAGUCAGUUGUACUGCAAGAAGGGCUACACUAAAAGCCUCUUCCAACAAAAGAAACACCCACCUGCCACUUUAGAUUCCUUUACCAAGAGAACUAUCUGUGUAGUGAGACAUUGUUUAUUCUGCUGGAAAGAGAAUCUCAGUUUCUCAGCUACACAGCAAUAAAUGAAAGCUAUGACUUUGUUUGUAAAAGAAAAAAAAAAA